rnacentral:lncRNA from 10 species
ACCUGCCUUGGCCUCCCAAAGUGCUGGCAUUACAGGCAUGAGCCACCGCACCCAGCCAUAUUUUAUACAUAUAUUUUAUUUUUGGAAAAAAGUCUGAAUGUAGAGAGAAGUGGUCUUAUUAUUUCUCAGGGUCCCAGCAUUCCAAGGCCAGGAUCAUUGUCAUUGUCUUACUUCCAGUUUUUUGUUUUGUUUUGUUUUUAUUUUUGCUCUUUUGAAAUGAACAUACUUUUUACAUACUCUAGAUCAUUCUGAAUGUAGAAUUUUGCGUUUCUCCUCUUUGUUUCCCACCUAUUUUUCUCUCUCUCUUUUUUGUUUUUCUUUUCUUUUUUAUUGUUUCCCACCUAUUUUUGGGAGGCGGAGGCAGGAGAAUCGCUUGAGCCCGGGGGUCAGAGGUUUCAGUGAGCUGAGGUUGCACCACUGCAUCCCAGCCUGGGUGACAGGGUGAGACCCUGUCAAAAAAAAAAAAAAAACGGCCCCCACAGCAGACAUUUUAUUUGUGUGUGUGUUUUUUGUUGUUGUUUUUUUAACGUCUUCAGGUUUUUUUUUUUUUUCCCCUAUGGCUUUGUCACCCAGGUUGGAGUGGAAGACAAUUUUUUCACAGACCCGGGGGUGGCGGGGAGAGGUGGUGGUUCCAGGAUGAUUCAAGCACAUUCCAUUUAUUGUGCACUUUUAUGAUUAUGACAUUGUAAUAUAUAAUGAAGUAAUUAUACAACUCACCACAAUGUAGAAUCAGUGGGAGCCCUGAGCUUGUUUUCCUGCAACUGGACGGUCCCAUCUGAGGGUGAUGGGAGACAGUGACAGAUCGUCAGGCAUUUGAUUCUCAUAAGGACAAUGCAGAUCCCUCAACACUUGCAGUUCACUACAGGGCUCAGGCUCCUCGGAGAACCUAAUGCUGCUGAUGGUCUGACAGGAUACGGAGCUCAGGCAGUCACGUGAGUGAAGGGGAGCGGCUGUAAACACAGAUGAAGCUUGGCUCACUCGCUCGCCAUUCACCUCCUGCUGUCCAGUCCAGUCCUGAACGACAGCCCUUUAAACAGAAGGACUCUGUUGUCUAGUUUUUUUACUGUUGUGUCCACAGCACCUAGAAUGACUCUUGGCACAUGGCAGGUACCCUAUAUAUGUUUACUGAAUAAACAUAUUUUUGUUUUCCUGAGGGCUAUGGUGCUUGGGUACAUAUCAGAAGGACCUGGGAAGCUAGCUAAAAAAAUAUGGGGCCGGGCAGGGUGGCUCAUGCCUGUAAUCUCAGCACUUUGGGCGGCUGAGGUGGGCAGAUCACGGGGUCAAGAAAUAGAGCCAA